AGCAGGCUGAGAUUUGGAUGCGAAACCCGAUCUUACUCUGGGGCUUCUGAGUUGCUAAUCCAGUGACAGUGUCAUUAUAUCUCUUCCCCCGCACCCGCUCCCCCUACCACCUUCCUACCAUUCUCAACUUGCUAUUCCUUCAGUGUAACUAGAACAAAAUCAUGGAACUCCCUCAUGAACAGCCUUUUGGCAAGGUGCUGGAAGCUGACUGGAAUCACACAGCAAGAUCACUCAACUCCAUGAGGAGCACACAGACCUGAUGAAAAAAGCCCAACUUUAUUUAUGGAGAGGUGGACAAAAUUAGAGGUAACACAUCCCCAGAAACGACGACAGCCCAUGACGAGCGCGCACCUAAGCAUGAAUUGUAAACACGGGGUUAUUUAAAGCUUCAUGGUCUGAGCGAACUGGGGAUGUCAUCUGUUUCGUAUCACUCCUUUUAAUGUUCACUGUUUACGUGGAAAAAAAUUGUCAACAGCUGCUAUAAAUAAACCAGGAAGAAGUGCUGAGUGCAAA